UAGACACCUCUUUUACUCUUGAUGACCUCCCAGUCUAUCAUGAACCUGCAAACCUGGGGAUUAGGGGAAAGGGGUGAGCUACUAGAGCCCAGUGAGCAGAACAGUAAAAACAAUUUAUAAAGAUAUGCCAUCAUGAAAUGCAUCACAACACAAGUAAAUCACCUUAAGAUGGUAUUGUCACCAUUAGCCCCCUACAUAUCCAAUAAAUACCC
rnacentral:lncRNA from 1 species